AUGCUUCGAAAUUUUCGAAUUUGUUUCGCGCUCUGGUCCGCCACUCUAGCAGCCGAUGCAACCGCAACCCCAGCCGUAGCACCUUCACUCCAGUACCCCCAACUAGAGCAGAAGCACACCGGCGGAACAUCACUGAUCACGGACCAAGGGACCCCGGGACCGAACUUCCAUGAUCUCACUCAUCAAGCACCGCAUCCAACCUGGCUCGACCUCCCCACCUCGUCCGCUCCACAAAGCAACAUUCAACGAAUCCCCAACCCCGUCCGGAACCCUAAACCCCCUCACAACUGUACCCCCAACCAUCACGGCCCCGUCUUUCGACCGGCCACCAAGUGACCAACCAGAGCAUCCCGUUGAUCGACAUCCCAACUAACAAUCUCCCCAUCCACCGAGAGGAAGUCGAAUACAACCCUCAAAAAGCGAGUGGCCCAGUCUCUUGUCGGCGAGAACGCAGACGAGUCUGGCGCCGACUAGCACUUCGACUACAGCCGAAUCGCGCACACCCCAAUACACUCUCCCGCAGAUCAAUUUCAACGGUGGCUACUCCAGACAGGAAUCAAUCCUCCCGGGGGGGAGUACGCCGUUUCCCAAUCAGUCUUUCAAAACUAACUUGAUAAGAGUCACAUCGUCGUCGUCGGUUAUCAGCAGGCACCUCAGUCCUCCGGGAAGACGACGUACCACGUUUCUUCGUCACCAUCGUCCCACGUGGGAGACUCCGAUUUAAGUAACUAUCCGCGGCUGCCGAACCAAGCAUCCGAGGUAGGCGACGCCUACUCUCAGGCGACCCGGCGUGAAUUCGGAGACCAACCGGUCCACUCGGGGGACACGAGAGUCAAUCAGUUUGAGAAAACAUCCAAUCGACACAAUCUUCAAAGCCUACCAAGACCCGGUACCGAUUACGGCUCCUCUGAAACACAUAGACAAAAUUUUAGCAACCAGUUCAAUCGACCGGGAGAAAUUGAUAGUUCCGUCAAGAAAAAAAGUAGCCCAAGCCAACUGACCCCGGCCGGUGGCAACCCUCAAACUAGGCAAAGGCUUCAACCCAGGCCGCAGGUGGGGGAUGCUGGCCUGAACCGGUUCGGAGAUCAGCCGACAGGCUCGUAUCCCCGAAUUAGCACUGCGGCCCCAGGAUUCUCCAGCCGUAGGUUCGAUAAUCAAACGAGAGCUA
rnacentral:lncRNA from 1 species